GACGAACGCUGGCGGCGUGCCUAAUACAUGCAAGUAGGACGCAGUUGCGAACGGGUGAGUAACGAGUAGGUAACUACCUAGUAGAGGGGGAUAAAUAUUGGAAACGAUAGCUAAUAAAGCAUACUAGUAGAUGGACCUGCGUUGUAUUAGCUAGUAGGUAGGGUAAUGGCCUAACUAGGCAACGAUACAUAGCCUACCUUAGCUUGUUUUCUGCCCCCCUUGUACUUCGUCACGGCCCCGACUCCUACCGGAUGCCGCCGUAGGGAAUCUUCGGCAAUGGGGCUCACCCCUACCGCGCAUCUCCGCGUUAGUGAAGAAGGUUUUCGGAUCGUUAAGCUCCUUUUUUAAGGAAGCGGUACUUACCCAGAAAGGGCCGGCUAACUACGUGCCAGCAGCCGCGGUAAUAC
rnacentral:rRNA from 1 species